GAGGUCAGGGAGUUGCCGGUGGCGAUGAAGUUCCUUAGGGGGCGUCUAGACCUAGCUCCGGUGGUGGCUCAGAGGGAGCUCGCGGAGGAAGAAGGAGGGGGAAGAGUAAAAAGCAGAGAAGUAGGAAAGGUACGGAGACUCAAGGAAAAAAAGGGAACGGGUACUGCUCGUCCCUUCGGAGCGGUGACGGCGGCGGUGGUGGUGGUGCCUGCAGCAGUGUGGUAGCGGCGGAGGCUCAAGCGGCCGGUGGCCGCGGGCAGGAGGAUAUACGUCGGCUCGGUUAACUCCUCGAGUCUUGAUGGCGGCAGUACGGGUGCAGUUCAACGACGCGUAGAGGUGGAGGGUCGGAACGACUCCGUACGGUUCUCCGCGACGGAGCAGACCUGAGGAGACGAUGGAGGGUAAGCACGGAGACGAAGUCAGCGGUCGCUCGGCGACGGAGCAGGCCGGCCGGAGGAGACCAGGGUCUAAACCAAAUCCGGUGUUGCCACCAACAACGACAGCUAACACGAACGGACUAAGCCUCAAAGGAAGUGAGGUAGAAGGGAGAACGGCUUAAUUAACGAAGUAAUACAAGGGGAGUAUGCGACGAACUAAAGACUACGCCGUUUCAGCG
rnacentral:rRNA from 1 species